GGCGAGGCUCGUGGGCUCCAGUUUCAGCCACAGAUGGGGUUUCACCAUAUUGGCUAUGCUGGUCUCGAACUCCUGACCUUGUGAUCCACCUGCCUUGGCCUCCCAAAGUGCUGGGAUUACAGGAUGAAAGGCUUCCUAGCACAAACACCACCCCUGGAGUUCCCGGUACAUCAAUACCAGCCUGGGGAUCACGUUCUCAUCAAGAGUUGGAAGAGGGAAAGCUUGAACCAGCUUAGGAGGACCUCAUCUGGUACUCUUGAUGAAUGAAACAGCAAUCUGAAUGGCUGAAAAAGGAUGGACCCAGCACUCCAGGGAGAAAACUUGGCAUUCUUUGGGAAUCUAACAGGAUGCAGUGAACCCAAGCCUUUUGAAGAGCUCACCAAUCAGACUGCCCUUGUCUAUCCAUGAGCAGAUGUUUGAUAGUAUUGCGGAGGCCCUCUAGUGGGUAUGCUGCCAAGCAACUGGAGUGGCACUUGGGCUCUAAUCCAGUUGUCUAUCCCUUUCACCCUGGCAUUUCAUCAGCCAAACAAAAACCAACUAACUCAGAAAAAAAGGAAAGCCCCUCAAGGGUCCUUUGACCCCGAUAUCUACAUAGAUGCUAUCGGGGUCCCCUGAGGGGUACCAAACGAAUUCAAAGCUCGAAAUCAAAUAGCUGCUGGAUUCAAGUCUGUCCUUUUCUUGUGGUCUACUAUAAAUAAAAAUGUAGACUGGAUAAAUUACAUAUACUAUAACCAACAACGAUUUGUCAGUUACACCAGGGAUGCCAUUAAAGGAAUAGCUGAAC
rnacentral:lncRNA from 1 species